rnacentral:rRNA from 1 species
AGUGAACGCUGGCGGUAGGCCUAACACAUGCAAGUCGAACGGCAGCACAGUAAGAGCUUGCUCUUACGGGUGGCGAGUGGCGGACGGGUGAGGAAUACAUCGGAAUCUACUUUUUCGUGGGGGACAACGUAGGGAAACUUACGCUAAUACAUCAUACGAACUACGGGUGAAAGCAGGGGAUCUUCGGACCUUGCGCGAAUGAAUGAGCCGAUGUCGGAUUAGCUAGUUGGCGGGGUAAAGGCUCACCAAGGCGACGAACCGUAGCUGGUCUGAGAGGAUGAUCAGCCACACUGGAACUGAGACACGGUCCAGACUCCUACGGGAGGCAGCAGUGGGGAAUAUUGGACAAUGGGCGCAAGCCUGAUCCAGCCAUACCGCGUGGGUGAAGAAGGCCUUCGGGUUGUAAAGCCCUUUUGUUGGGAAAGAAAAGCAGCAGGUUAAUACCCCGCUGUUCUGACGGGACCCAAAGAAUAAGCACCGGCUAACUUUGUG